CGGAGGGUCCAAGCGUUAUCCGGAAUCAUUGGGUUUAAAGGGUCCGUAGGCGGCUCAAUAAGUCAGUGGUGAAAUCUCCCGGCUCAACCGGGAAAUUGCCAUUGAUACUGUUGGGCUUGAAUUAUUAGGAAGUAACUAGAAUAUGUAGUGUAGCGGUGAAAUGCUUAGAUAUUACAUGGAAUACCAAUUGCGAAGGCAGGUUACUACUAAUAUAUUGACGCUGAUGGACGAAAGCGUGGGUAGCGAACAGGAUU
rnacentral:rRNA from 1 species